ACUUAGUUUGAGAUAAAGAGAGAAAGAUCAGGAAUGAAAACAGAAACAGGUGUGCUAUUGCAAAGAAAAUACAUGGUUGCCCAACCUGAGAGAAGUGCAGGAGAAAGGGAGAGUGAGAGUGGGAGACCGCAGGAUAGAGAUGGUGGAAAAAUGCCAGGCAUACACACAAGGAAUGGGGAUCAGAGUAUAAAUGAGAUGGUUGAGUAAAGGAAGAGAGAGAUAUAGAUGGUGGCAAGUACCAGGACAUAUCCUUGAGGUUCAAAUACCAUAAUAUAAGUGACAGGAUAUUGUGAAGGGAGUGAGAUUAAAGAGUGCAAGUAAGUGGCAAAAGACCUGGGUAUAUAUAGAGUUGGAGUGGCUACAGGGUAGCAGCAAUACAGAGGAACAGGAGUGUGAGGAUAGGAUUGGGGAGUGAGAGCUAGGCAUAGUUUAUGAAGGAGGAAAUGCGAGAAAGAGAUGUUGAUUGGUUUGUUGGGGUAGGGUGAGGGAAAGUUUUCUUGUUAUGCAUGUAUGUAUAUGUGUGUGUGUGUGUGUCUGUGUUUGUUCCCCACCAUCACUUGACAACUGAUGUU